rnacentral:rRNA from 1 species
GACGUAGGGCGCGAGCGUUGUCCGGAUUUAUUGGGCGUAAAGAGCUCGUAGGCGGUUCGGUAAGUCGGGUGUGAAAACUCUGGGCUCAACCCAGAGCCGCCACCCGAUACUGCUGUGACUUGAGUUCGGUAGGGGAGCGGGGAAUUCCUGGUGUAGCGGUGAAAUGCGCAGAUAUCAGGAGGAACACCAGUGGCGAAGGCGCCGCUCUGGGCCGAGACUGACGCUGAGGAGCGAAAGCGUGGGGAGCGAACAGG